rnacentral:rRNA from 1 species
GAUGGGGGCAGCUUACCAUGCAGUCGACGGCAGCACGGGGGCAACCCUGGUGGCGAGUGGCGAACGGGUGAGUAAUGCAUCGGAACGCGCCCAGUAGUGGGGGAUAACCCGGCGAAAGCCGGGCUAAUACCGCAUACGACCUAAGGGUGAAAGCGGGGGACCGUAAGGCCUCGCGCUAUUGGAGCGGCCGAUGUCUGAUUAGCUAGUUGGCGGGGUAAAAGCCCACCAAGGCGACGAUCAGUAGCUGGUCUGAGAGGACGACCAGCCACACUGGGACGGAGACACGGCCCAGACUCCUACGGGAGGCAGCAGCGGGGAAUUUUGGACAAUGGGCGCAAGCCUGAUCCAGCCAUGCCGCGUGCGGGAAGAAGGCCUUCGGGUUGUAAACCGCUUUUAGUCGGGAAGAAAAGGCGGGGGCUAAUACCCUCUGUUUUUGACGGUACCGGCGGAAUAAGCACCGGCUAACUACGUGCCAGCAGCCGCGGUAAUACGUAGGGUGCGAGCGUUAAUCGGAAUUACUGGGCGUAAAGCGUGCGCAGGCGGUUCGUCAAGUCUGAUGUGAAAGCCCCGGGCUCAACCUGGGAAUGGCAUGGGAAACUGACGGGCUGGAGUAUGGCAGAGGGGGGUGGAAUUCCGCGUGUAGCAGUGAAAUGCGUAGAGAUGCGGAGGAACACCGAUGGCGAAGGCAGCCCCCUGGGCCAAUACUGACGCUCAGGCACGAAAGCGUGGGGAGCAAACAGGAUUAGAUACCCUGGUAGUCCACGCCCUAAACGAUGUCGACUGGGUGUUGGGAGAGAGAUCUCUUGGUACCGUAGCUAACGCGUGAAGUCGACCGCCUGGGGAGUACGGCCGCAAGGUUAAAACUCAAAGGAAUUGACGG